rnacentral:rRNA from 1 species
GAUAAACGCUGGCGGCGUGCAUGAGACAUGCAAGUCGAACGAACGAGCUUGCUCGUUAGUGGCGGACGGCUGAGUAACGCGUAGGUGACCUGCCCCGAAGUGGGGGAUAACUGCCCGAAAGGGUGGCUAAUACCGCAUGUGGCGACACUUUCAUUGGUGUCAUCAAAGCCGCGAGGCGCUUCGGGAGGGGCCUGCGUCCGAUUAGCUCGUUGGUGGGGUAAUGGCUCACCAAGGCGACGAUCGGUAGGGGGUCUGAGAGGACGAUCACCCAGACUGGGACUGAGACACGGCCCAGACUCCUACGGGAGGCAGCAGUCGGGAAUUUUGCUCAAUGGGCGCAAGCCUGAAGCAGCAACGCCGCGUGCGGGAUGAAGGCCUUCGGGUUGUAAACCGCUUUUGUCAGGGACGAUGAUGACGGUACCUGACGAAUAAGUCACGGCUAACUACGUGCCAGCAGCCGCAGUAAUAC